AUCCAGCUAAAGACGAGUCCUAAACAGGACGAAAUGAGUGUCGUGGAU
rfam:Schistosoma haematobium scaffold1242_18, whole genome shotgun sequence.